AGAAUCAACGCUGGCGGCGUGCCUAACACAUGCAAGUCGAACGAGAAAGGGGAGCAAUCCAUGAGUAAAGUGGCGACCGGGUGAGUAACACGUGACUAACCUACCUUCGAGGUGGGGGAUAACAUCGGGAAACCGAUGCUAAUACCGCAUAACAUCGCAAGAUCAAAGCAGCAAUGCGCUUGAAGAGGGGGUCGCGGCUGAUUAGCUAGUUGGCGGGGUAAUGGCCCACCAAGGCGAAGAUCGGUA
rnacentral:rRNA from 1 species